rnacentral:rRNA from 1 species
CAGAGGGUGCGAGCGUUGUCCGGAAUCACUGGGCGUAAAGGGCGCGUAGGCGGCCCCUUAAGCGUGUGGUGAAAGCGCGGGGCUCAACCCCGCGUCGGCCAUGCGGACUGGGGGGCUGGAGCACGUCAGAGGCAGGCGGAAUUCCGGGUGUAGCGGUGGAAUGCGUAGAGAUCCGGAAGAACACCGGUGGCGAAGGCGGCCUGCUGGGACGUGGCUGACGCUGAGGCGCGACAGCGUGGGGAGCAAACAGGAUUAGAUACCCUGGUAGUCCACGCCGUAAACGAUGGGGACUAGGUGCUUGGGGGAGCGACCCCCUGGGUGCCGGCGCUAACGCAUUAAGUCCCCCGCCUGGGGAGUACGGCCGCAAGGCUG